rnacentral:rRNA from 1 species
UACGUAGGGUACAAGCAUUAAUCGGAUUUAUUGGGCGUAAAGGGCGCGUAGGCGGAAGUGCCAGUCAGAUGUGAAAUCCCGAGGCUCAACCUCGGAACAGCAUUUGAAACUACACUUCUAGAGGGUAGGCGGAGAAAACGGAAUUCCACAAGUAGCGGUGAAAUGCGUAGAUAUGUGGAAGAACACCGGUGGCGAAGGCGGUUUUCUAGCUUAUACCUGACGCUGAGGCGCGAAAGCAAGGGGAGCAAACAGG